CUCCUGUCCUUUGCAUCAUGGUCUAGCUAGUUUAAUCAAGCAAAAUGAACCUUCCAGUUUGCCUCCCCGAAACUAAGCGAGCUACUUCAGAACAGCCUAUAGGGCCAACCCGUCUCUGUUGCAAAAGAGUGGGAAGAUUCUCAAGUAGAAGUGACAUACCUACCGAGCUUAGAGAUAGCUGGUUUUUCAAGAAAAGAAUUUUAGUUCUGCCUUAAGCUUUUUUAUUUUCUAAAACAACAACUUAAGCUUAAGAGUUAUUCAAAUAAGGGACAGCUUAUUUGAACCAGGACACAACCUCAGACAUAGGGUAAUUUACCUUUAAACAACAAAGUAGGCCUAAAAGCAGCCAUCUUUAAAAAGCGUCAAAGCUUAAUCUACUAAAUCACUUUAAUUUCUUCUUCAACUCUAAACCCACCUCCAGUAUUGAAAGACCCCAUAAAAUUAUGGAAGCCACUAUGCUAGAACUAGUAACAAGAAAGAGAAUUUCUCUAAAAUGCAAGUAUUGAUCAACACACCCCCUAUUGAUAAUUAACGUUGCUGAGUUUAUUGCAUUAACGUCCCAAGAAAAUGAUUCAACAAAUAACGUAAAACUAACACUAGAGCAUUUAUAGAAAGAUUAAAAGAGUAGGAAGGAACUCGGCAAAUUUAACCCUCGCCUGUUUAC
rnacentral:rRNA from 1 species